AUCUGGUCCUAACAGAUGACAGUCUACAUUCACAUGUGACGCAAAUAGCGCGCUGUUUACCGUAAGCUAAGUCAUUCGAUUGAAGUUGUAUGAUAAGCCUUCGAGUAGCCAUCAUACAGACGGAAGGUUGUCAUUGUGAAAUAAGGAAACCAGCUAACAUGCUGAGACACAUCCAGAUUCAUACCAUUGCAAGCAGAAAAGCAGCAGUGGAUUUGAUCCAGAAUGGGUUAGUCAGAGGAAUCAGUCAAAGUCUACAGUGCCGUAGGCCCGAAGUAGAACUAACGUCUGUUCGUUAUCCUGGCGUCCGGCGAGGCAACUAUGCCCAGCUAAGCGACAGACAUGUGCAGCAUUUUCGAAGUAUCUUGCCCAAGGAGAGGGUCAUAACAGAAACAGAAGAUGUAGCGGGCUAUAAUGUUGACUGGUUAAGAAUGGUUCGAGGUGUCAGCCAGAUUGUGCUGAAACCCAAGAUUACAGAGGAGGUGUCGGCAAUACUCGAGUACUGCAAUGCCGAGAACUUGGCAGUGUGUCCACAGGGUGGAAACACUGGGCUGGUUGGCGGCAGCGUGCCCGUGUUUGAUGAAGUCAUCAUCUCCACCAGUCUCAUGAACAGCAUAGUCAGUCUGGAUGAACUCUCGGGUAUUUUGGUGUGCCAGGCUGGUUGUAUUCUGGAAAAUUUGGAAUCUUAUCUUUCUGAACGAGGUUUUAUGAUGCCUCUAGACUUGGGAGCCAAGGGGACCUGUCAGAUUGGAGGAAAUGUAUCUACCAAUGCUGGGGGAAUCCGGUUGAUUCGCUAUGGCAGUCUUCAGGGUAGUGUAUUAGGUAUUGAGGCGGUGAAAGCAGAUGGUGAAGUGAUAGACUGCUUGAGCUCGCUGAAGAAAGAUAAUACAGGCUAUCAUCUUAAGCACUUGUUUAUUGGAUCAGAGGGCACGCUGGGAAUUGUCACCAAGGUGUCCAUCCAGUGUCCACCAAGUCCCAAGGCAGUUAAUGUUGCUUUUCUGGGCUUGGACUCAUUUGACGAUAUUUUGCGCACGUUCACGGAAGCUCGGAGUGGGUUGGGUGAAAUACUGUCUUCAUGUGAAAUGAUGGACUUGUUAUCUCUGGAUGCUGCAACAUCGAAUCUCAAACUUCAGCGACCAAUUGGAGAGUUUCCAUUCUACAUGCUGAUAGAGACAUCUGGUAGCAAUGGAACACAUGAUGAGGAGAAGCUGACCAAAUUCUUGGAGACGCUGAUGGCUAAUGGUGUUGUUCGUGAUGGGACUGUGGCCAGUGAGCCAUCUAGGAUAAAGUUAAUGUGGAACCUUCGGGAAGGGAUAACUGGAGGCUUGCUUCAUGAUGGUUAUGUGUACAAGUAUGACAUCUCACUGCCUCACAAUAGCUUCUAUGCCAUCAUUCCUGAACUCAGAACACUCUUACCGGCUGAUAAGGUGGGGCGGAUAUGUGGCUAUGGUCAUGUAGGGGAUGGCAACCUGCAUUUAAACAUUACCACUCCAAAAUUUGACCCUGAUGUCCUGAAAAUUAUUGAGCCAUUUGUGUUCGAGUGGACUUCUAAGCUGAAGGGAAGCGUGAGUGCUGAGCAUGGCAUUGGCUUCAAGAAGACGCAAUACAUCCACUUUUCCAAGUCACAGAGUUCACUUAACCUAAUGGUUAACAUCAAGAAGCUCAUGGACCCAAAAGGUAUUCUGAACCCCUACAAGGUUCUACCAGCACAACACUGAGAUCCGUGCCCAAGCACUGUGUGUCCAGAUUUGACGUCAGAUGAUGUUACAUCCUGCAGAAUAUUGCGUUUUAAAUACUGAUGCCCAGGAAAGCUGGAGGCUUACUUCUUAGGGUGUUCAGUUACUUCAAGCAUGAGAGCUGUACACAGUACUGUCAUGUCAGAAGAACACUUUCGAUGCAUACUGUACCAAGCUUUGGAAGAUCUUGCAACUUCACUUGCCUAGCCGUGUCUAUCCGAACAUGAUAGAUCACGAAGAUUGCUCGUCUUCUCGGUUGUUGCGCCACGUAGUCUGGUAGAAGUUUACCGACGUUUCAGAGGUCCUUACUGCCUCCACCAUCAGGCCCCUGAUGUUGGAAGCAGCAAGGACUCUGAAACGUCAGUAAACUCCUACCAGACUACACGGCGCAACAACCCAGAAGACAGAAAUCUUCAGACUCACCAUCAUGAAAACCUCAAACAUAUGUGAUAGUUCACAUUUCAGUUGCUUAUAGGUUAUUAUUUUCACUGUUUCGUUGCGUUACAUUUGAAAACAAUAUCCAUGUAACCACAGUAUUGAAAUGCUAUUUUAUUUCAUCACCAGGUUUGUUCGUAAAAUUUACAGUAAAUCAGUGUGGACAAACAGAUACGUCAGAAAAGUUCUGAUGGGGUAGGAUUAGGAUUAGUCCCUUCUAUCAGACCCAACAGAAUAGGCAUUUUUACGAGAAGAUGGAAGCAGGACCAAGUCCCAAAAUGUAGUCAUCUUGUUUUAUAAUUCUGAAUGAUGGAUGAAGCCCAGAAAAAGAGCAAUAUUUAAUGGAAGGAACUGGACUUAGCAACACUGGAUUAUACAUAGUGGGUUGGAGAUGAAAUUUUUUUCAGGUUAUGUUGGUUGAGGUGUAAAAGACCAAAGUUAUUUUGUGCUCAAUAUACAAUAUACACAAUUUGUAACAUGUAAAUAUUUUACAUUGCUGUAUCUGAAUAUUACAGAAUUUAUAUUCAUAUGUACUGUAGUCAGCUGUAACAUGAUUUGACGCUCUGACAAUAAAGAACCUGAAAGUUGAAUGCA